CAGCGGCAGACGGGUGAGUAAUACGUAGGUAACCUUCCGUUUUGUGGGGGACAACGGUCCGAAAGGACCGCUAAUACCGCAUACGUCUCUCGGGACUUCGGUUCUGGGAGGGAAAGCCUCGCAGCGCAGAAUGAGGGGCCUAUGUCGCAUCAGCUAGUUGGUGGGGUAAUGGCCUACCAAGGCUAAGACGCGUAGCUGGUCUGAGAGGAUGAUCAGCCACACUGGGACUGAGACACGGCCCAGACUCCUACGGGAGGCAGCAGUGGGGAAUAUUGGACAAUGGGCGCAAGCCUGAUCCAGCCACGCCGCGUGAGUGAUGAAGGCCUUCGGGUCGUAAAGCUCUGUGGGGAGGGACGAAUGGCCGGGUGAAGAGCCCGGAAUGACGGUACCUCCUUAGCAAGCACCGGCUAACUUCGUGCCAGCAGCCGCGGUAAUACGAAGGGUGCAAACGUUGCUCGGAAUCAUUGGGCGUAAAGCGCACGUAGGCGGCUUCGCAAGUCGGAUGUGAAAUCCCUCGGCUCAACCGAGGACGUGCAUCCGAAACUGCGGAGCUUGAGUACUGAAGAGGAUCGCGGAAUUCCCGGUGUAGAGGUGAAAUUCGUAGAUAUCGGGAGGAACACCAGUGGCGAAGGCGGCGAUCUGGGCAGAUAC
rnacentral:rRNA from 1 species